ACGCACGCUGGCGGCGUGCUUCACACAUGCAAGUCGAACGGUGAAGCGCCUUCCUUUUUGGUGGGUGUGGAUGAGUGGCGAACGGGUGAGUAACACGUGAGUAACCUGCCCCCUUCUUCUGGAUAACCGCAUGAAAGUGUGGCUAAUACGGGAUAUUCUGGGUCUGUCGCAUGAUGGGUCUGGGAAAGAUAUUGUUUCGGUGGGGGAUGGGCUCGCGGCCUAUCAGCUUGUUGGUGGGGUGAUGGCCUACCAAGGCGGUGACGGGUAGCCGGCCUGAGAGGGUGGACGGUCACACUGGGACUGAGACACGGCCCAGACUCCUACGGGAGGCAGCAGUGGGGAAUAUUGCACAAUGGGCGCAAGCCUGAUGCAGCGACGCCGCGUGAGGGAUGGAGGCCUUCGGGUUGUGAACCUCUUUCGCCAGUGAAGCAGGCCUGCCUCGUUUGUGGGUGGGUUGACGGUAGCUGGAUAAGAAGCGCCGGCUAACUACGUG
rnacentral:rRNA from 1 species